GAGGCUCGAAAGCGUGGGGAGCAAACAGGAUUAGAUACCCUGGUAGUCCACGCCCUAAACGAUGUAUACUAGUUGUUGCUAAGCUAGUCUUGGCAGUAAUGCACCUAACGGAUUAAGUAUACCGCCUGGGGAGUACGGUCGCAAGAUUAAAACUCAAAGGAAUAGACGGGGACCCGCACAAGCGGUGGAGCAUGUGGUUUAAUUCGAAGAUACGCGAAGAACCUUACCCGGACUUGAUAUCUAACAAAUCAUCUAGAGAUAGAAGAGUGUCUGCUUGCAGAAAUGUUAAGACAGGUGCUGCACGGCUGUCGUCAGCUCGUGUCGUGAGAUGUUGGGUUAAGUCCCGCAACGAGCGCAACCCACGUCAUUAGUUGCUAACAGCUCGGCUGAGCACUCUAAUGAGACUGCCUUCGUAAGGAGGAGGAAGGUGUGGACGACGUCAAGUCAUCAUGGCCCUUAUGUCCGGGGCGACACACGUGCUACAAUGGCAUAUACAAUGAGAAGCAAUAUCGCGAGAUGGAGCAAAUCUAUAAAAUAUGUCCCAGUUCGGAUUGGAGUCUGCAACUCGACUCCAUGAAGCCGGAAUCGCUAGUAAUCGUAGAUCAGCCAUGCUACGGUGAAUACGUUCCCGGGUCUUGUACACACCGCCCGUCACACCAUGGGAGUUGAUUUCACUCGAAGCCGGAAUACUAAAUUAGUUACCGUCCACAGUGGAAUCAGCGACUGGGGUGAAGUCGUAACAAGGUAACCGUAGGAGAACCUGCGGUUG
rnacentral:rRNA from 1 species